GACGAACGCUGGCGGCGUGCUUAACACAUGCAAGUCGAACGGAAAGGCCCUGCUUUUGUGGGGUGCUCGAGUGGCGAACGGGUGAGUAACACGUGAGUAACCUGCCCUUGACUUUGGGAUAACUUCAGGAAACUGGGCUUAAUACCGGAUAGAACCUCCUCCUCCUGGGGGGGGUUGGGAAGGUUCGGCGGUUGGGGGUGGACUCGCGGCUUAUCAGCUUGUUGGUGGGGUAGUGGCUUACCAAGGCUUUGACGGGUAGCCGGCCUGAGAGGGUGACCGGCCACAUUGGGACUGAGAUACGGCCCAGACUCCUACGGGAGGCAGCAGUGGGGAAUAUUGCACAAUGGGCGGAAGCCUGAUGCAGCAACGCCGCGUGCGGGAUGACGGCCUUCGGGUUGUAAACCGCUUUCGCCUGUGACGAAGCGUGAGUGACGGUAAUGGGUAAAGAAGCACCGGCUAACUACGUG
rnacentral:rRNA from 1 species